AUGCGCGGUGCGGUGCUGCUGUUGCCGCUGCUGGCGGCCGUGCUGCUGCCCGCGGCGGCCGCGGCCGGCGGAGGCAACGGGAGCUGCGUGCGGAGCUGCGGCGGCAUGACGCUGCCGUACCCGUUCGGCUUCUCCAGCGACUGCACGAUACGGCUCGGUUGCGAUGUCGGGGCCGGCGUUGUGUUCGUCGGCGGCACGCGAGAGCUGGGUCUGGUCGUCCGCAACUUCACGCCGCGCGCGCUCAUCCUCAAACUGCAGCCCAACUGCUCUCGCUUGUUCAAUGCGUCCGUCGCGGCGCUCUUCUCCGACAGCUAUGCGCCCGCCUCCCGGAAUGCGCUCGUCGUCAGCUCAUGCGCCGAGGCUGCUCAAAUCAGCAACUGCAGCAGUUCGCCUGAGCGCUUCCUUGACAGGAACUCGUCCCACUGCACCGACGAGUCCAUCCGCUGCAUCGUGCCUCCUACCAACAGCACACGCGGCCACCAUUUUCUGAACAAAAGCGAGGUGCUCAGGUCGAACUGCACCGGGCUGGUGUCGGCGGUGAGCUAUUCGGAUGCAGGGGGCCCGUCGCUGCUGCUCGGCGCGCUGGAGCUGGACUGGUGGGUACCGGGGCCUUGCCGCUGUGAUGCCAGAGCCAACUGCACCCAGUUCCCGGCGACAAGGACGCGGCCGGAGGCGUUCCAGUGCGAGUGCCCGGAGGGGCUCGAGGGCGACGGCUUCGUCGAAGGCACCGGUUGCCGGGAAGUUUCCAAGUCCAAGUGCGAUCGCUCAAAUUACCUAUCAAGAGAUUGUGGCAAGAUCGUUCUCGUUGGUCUUAUCAUGGCAGGAAUAAUUUUUGGAGCCAUGGUGAUGGGCAUCGGCUGCGUGGUGUGCCACGUGCUGAAGCGCCGUUCCGCGUCCAUCCGGUCGCAGCAGAGCACGAAGCGGCUCCUGUCGGAGGCGGACUGCACGGUGCCACUCUACUCGUACCGCGAGAUCGAGCGCGCCACCAGCGGCUUCUCCGAGGACCAGCGGCUCGGCACGGGCGCCUACGGCACGGUGUACGCGGGGCGCCUCAGCGACAACCGCCUCGUCGCCGUGAAGCGGAUCAAGCACCGCGACAACGCCGACGGUGGCCUGGACUCCGUCAUGAACGAGGUGAAGCUGGUGUCCUCCGUGAGCCACCGCCACCUGGUCCGCCUCCUGGGCUGCUGCAUCGAGCAGGGCCAGCAGAUCCUGGUCUACGAGUUCAUGCCCAACGGCACGCUGGCGCAGCACCUGCAGAGGGAGCGCGGCCGCCCCGCCGUGCCGUGGACGGUGCGCCUCCGCGUGGCCGCCGAGACCGCCAAGGCCAUCGCGUACCUGCACUCGGAGGUGCACCCGCCCAUCUACCACCGCGACAUCAAAUCCAGCAACAUCCUGCUCGACCACGAGUACAACUCCAAGGUGGCCGACUUCGGGCUGUCCCGGAUGGGCAUGACGUCCGUCGACUCGUCGCACAUCUCCACCGCGCCGCAGGGCACCCCGGGCUACGUCGACCCGCAGUACCACCAGAACUUCCACCUCUCCGACAAGAGCGACGUGUACAGCUUCGGCGUGGUGCUGGUGGAGAUCAUCACGGCCAUGAAGGUUGUCGACUUCAGCCGGGGCCCCAGCGAGGUCAACCUGGCGCAGCUCGCUGUGGAGAAGAUCGGCAGGGGCUGCGUGGACGACAUCGUCGACCCCUUCCUGGACCCGCACCGGGACGCGUGGACCCUCACGUCCAUCCACAAGGUGGCGGAGCUGGCGUUCAGGUGCCUGGCGUUCCACAGCGAGAUCAGGCCGUCCAUGGCCGAGGUCGCCGACGAGCUGGAGCAGAUACAGGUCAGCGGGUGGGCGCCGUCGAAUGACGACGCCGCGUUCAUGUCGACCACGUCGUCGCUCUGCUCGUCGGCGCCGUCGCGCGGCACGGACAAGUCGUUGGGGCCGGACAAAGGCAGGGGCGAGGCAUUGUCGACGUCUGCCCCGGCGAUGGCAGUGGCAGCGCGGGAAACGGAGAAGGGCGCGGCGGGGUCCUCCCCUGUGUCCGUCCAGGAGAGGUGGUUCAGCGACAGGAGCUCCCCUUCCUCCAAUAGCCUGCUCGGGAAUAGCAGCUCGCUUCACUGA
rnacentral:rRNA from 1 species